GCCAUUGACCUUGCCUCAAAAUUCCAUUGGGAGACUCUGUGGCGACGUCCGACCCGAAAACUGCCCAGUCGGGUCUAUUUUUCCAGACAUACUCUGUUUUCCGUGAUCUUUGCAGGGCUUGACGGGUCAACCCGAUAGCUUUGGAACCAAACAACCACCACAUUCACCUCUGGGGGGUUGUACGUGUCGACCCGAGUCUCUUUUCUCAAAACGACCACCAUAGCCACCUCCGAGGGUCAGUUAAGAGUCGGGGGCCGUUGACCUUGCCUCAAAAUUCUAUCGGGAGCCUCCGUGGUGACGUCAAACCCGACUUGUGCCAGUCGGGUCUGUUCAACGAAAAACAGCCCAAACUCGACCCAACAGAGGUCCAACCUGACUUUUUACAGUCCCAUCCUGCAUCUCGGGACUAGGUGUGACCAUUCCUGACUUAAAAGAGCUAGGACUUUUACAUUUUCAUUGUGUUUACGGAGUUAUAAGUUGGUUUUAUGCAUGUUUUACUUCCAAGUUUUAAUUUUUAUGCAA